UUGGCCAAAAUAUUUUGUGAUCGUCCCUAAUGACCUUAAUAAUGGUAUGCACUGGUUUGAAGGGACAAACAUCUGCAUUUCAAGUUCAAACAAGGUCUGGAAUAGGAUACCAAAUUUCUCAUUGUGUGCGUCCAUGGAUUUUGGGUGAUAAGUGAUCCCGAUGUGCUUUUUGCUAAAAAAUUUAGGGACAAACAUCUGCAUUUUCAAGUUGGUUUGGGUUGGUCCAGAGGAGCAAACAUACGUAUUAUCAAGUUCAGACGAGGCAAAAAUGGAAUAAAUCAAAUUUCUCGUUUUACAUGUGCUAUAGUUCAUGAAUUUUGGGAUAUAUGUGAUCAUGACGUGUUUUUGGUCGAAAGUUUAUGUGACCUCUGUGUCGACAUUAUUAAUGGUGUGGGUUUGUCUGGAGGAAAAACGUUUGCAUUUUCAAGUUCAAAUAUGGUCAGAAACAAAAAAUUUCAAAUUUCUCGUCUCGUUUUACAUGUGCUAUACUCCAAGGAUUUUGGGUGAUAUAUAUGAUUCUGACGUGUUUUUGGCUAAAAAAAUUGUGGAAGCCCGUGACUACCUAGUUAAUGGUCUGGGUUCGUCAGCAAAGACAAAUGUCUACAUUUUCAAGUUCAAAUGAAGUCAGAAAUGAAAAAUAUAUCAAACUUUAUGUGUAUUAUUAACCCAUGAAUUUUGAGUAAUAUGUGAUCCCUGCGUAUUUUUUAUUGAAA